CCAAAGCCUAACCUGGGCCAAUCAUAGGAGAAUGGCUUAAUUGGUUAAUCAUAUAAAUUACAGUCACUUAAUCAUUUUAAUCACCAUCAGCCAAUUAGCUCAGAGUUAUGGGCUCUGAGGUAACAGUUAUGCAAAUGUUUGUUCCACUGCAAGCUAUUAACAGCCAUAUUUUCUAUAUCAAGCUGACAGUGACUGAUGUGGAGAGGGAAGUGAAGGAAAAAUGCUACUGUGAUUGUGUCAGCGUCCUACCAUUGCUGUCAUGCCUAAUGAACUGCUUCACUACAAGGAUAGGAAUAAAUGUUAUCAUUUGGCUACUGGAAAUCUGCAAUACCAAGUGAAGGCUAGUAGUUCAAUAACGCUGGAUAAUUUUAAAAAAGAGAGGCAAGAAAUCUUCACUGGGUGGUUUUGGGUUUCACCUGCUCUGUUUCUGCCAAAGUCAUCCCAAAAUCUCAUCUCCAUUACUGCAGAGGCACCAUGCUGGUUUGAGUGGAGAUAUUCACUACUCAAGAGGUUUCAGGCCCUGGGUAUCUUUAAGGGCAGAAGUUAA
rnacentral:lncRNA from 1 species